UACGGAGGAUGCGAGCGUUAUCCGGAUUUAUUGGGUUUAAAGGGUGCGCAGGCGGCGUGUCAAGUCAGCGGUCAAACUGCGGGGCUCAACCCCGUAUCGCCGUUGAAACUGGCGCGCUCGAGUUCGUGCGAGGGAGGCGGAAUGCGCGGUGUAGCGGUGAAAUGCAUAGAUAUCGCGCAGAACCCCGAUUGCGAAGGCAGCUUUCCAGCACGCGACUGACGCUCAUGCACGAAAGCGUGGGUAUCGAACA
rnacentral:rRNA from 1 species